UGUGAGAAUGUAUGACAAUUGCCAUGG
rnacentral:piRNA from 1 species